ensembl:lncRNA
GAUGAUCCAUGCUGCAGCAGUGAGAGUGCACUGACCAUAAACAAUUCAUUACGAGGGCAGGACGGCUGAGGAACAGAUAUCUGCCCAGACCAAGACACAGUUCAAAUGUGAGCAAGAUGAAUGAUGGAUGACAAAGGAUGAGAUCAUCUUUGUGGGAUGUUUUGCAAUAGACCCGUAUGUGUAUGUUUCAUCUGUGUGUGUCUUUGUGUAAUACACUUUAAAAUUAAGCUUCUAUAAUCAGACUGUGACCUUAAGAAGCUCUCCAAUGUGACACAAUAUUACGUAUGUAGCAAAUGCAAUGAACCUCUUGUGUUUAUGUUGCAUGCACAGAAAUGACCUUGUAAAAGACUAGCGUGCAGUUUCUAUAUAAAACCUUUAAUUCAUGUUCUCUGGCUCAUAAAUUUAAAGUAUGUUGAUAAGAGCCGAAAAUAACCUAAUCCCUCUCCGUCCUGGAGCUUCACUCCUUCGCCUGCUGUACCAGACAAAGGACAAACCAACACAUCCUCCCUGCAGAAGGGAUUAACACUCACUGGCAAUUUCAAGAGCUAAAUUAUUAGUGAGAUUCAUCCACAUUCCUUCAGUAAUGUAAACACAAGAGCUGAGAAACGUGCAGGCCAUGCAUAUGGAAGAAGAGGGGUUUGAUGUCAAGUUUUUACAGUUUUAGUAUGUUGGGAUUUCAGGUCCUUUGAUUCAUGUAUCUAAUUGUUCAUUUUUCUAGCCAUCCAUCCAUGUGUAGGGAAUCUCCUUUAAAGUGUAUAAAGACAAACAUUUUAUUACAGCUGAAGUCUUUGGAUGAAAGUAUGGAUGUUCAUUUGAAGAAGCAGCAAUCCAGAACCAAAUGCAUGCGGCAGCUUCUUAAACCCCUGCGGGAGGCUCACUGUCUGAGCUUGGCAUGACAUCUGCCGAGUGCAUGCAGUUCAAGUGAUGUCAUAGGACAAGUGAAUGAUGGACAAAAUCCCCCAGAUGGACAUUCAUCCCAUAAACAGAAAGAAACACACACACACCUACACAUAGAGAUAGAGUCUUAGAGACAAGAAAGGACAGGAAGCUAGAACAGAGGGGACAGAAAAAUGAGAGAAUGAGAAGUGGAGACGCAAGCAAAGGAUACAAAGUAUCCUUACGCAUGUACACAAACUAUUCUAUAGUAGUACAAUGUCUAUAAGGGCAUAUUCCAUAGUAAUGUUGUUUUCAGUGAUUAAGUGUGUAAGUCAGCAAGAGUUAAUGAGGUGGGGAGAGGAAAAAAAUGGAUAUAUUAUCAAAUGCACCCAUAUAUCCCUGCUGUUAGAGGAGGAGGUUUCAUGUUUUUGUAGAUGGUAAGAAAGCCUGGGUUAGAACAGUAUGACUUUUGCUGGAAAAUGGAAAAGGAUGGAAAAUGGCCUGGAAUCAUUCUUUUGUUUAAAGUUAAUAUAUUUAUUCAGUAAUUAAAGUAAUUGGUGCAUUAAAUCUAAAUUGACAAUAAAGGCA